GGAAAAGUCGUAACAAGGUUUCCGUAGGUGAACCUGCGGAAGGAUCAUUAUUGUAUAACCGAGGUGCGAGGGCUGUCGCUGACCCGAAAGGUCGUGCACGCCCGAGUGCCCUCACACACAUCCAUCUCACCCCUAUGUGCACCACCGCGUGGGUCCCCCUUUGGCUUGUUCGGAGGGGGGCUUACGUUUUCACACAAACUUUGUAUGCAGUGUAGAAUGUAUUUUUGUUUUUGCGAUCACGCAAUCAAUACAACUUUCAACAACGGAUCUCUUGGCUCUC
rnacentral:misc_RNA from 1 species